UAGGGAAUCUUCCACAAUGGGCGAAAGCCUGAUGGAGCAACGCCGCGUGUGUGAUGAAGGCUUUCGGGUCGUAAAGCACUGUUGUAUGGGAAGAACAGCUAGAAUAGGAAAUGAUUUUAGUUUGACGGUACCAUACCAGAAAGGGACGGCUAAAUACGUGCAAG
rnacentral:rRNA from 1 species